AUGAGCAGCAGCAGAGCCGCGCUGCUCCGUAGACUAGUAACCCAUCGCCACCGCAGCAUCGUCAGCGUCUGCGACGGCAUCGGAUCACCCCAGCCCCAGCUGAUCCGCCACCAUUAUUCUAAUCCCCACCGGGGUUAUUCUAAUCCCACCCCCGAUCUCGCCGGGGCGCGCGCGUUUACUUCUUUGCCCUCCACGCCAUGGCCAUGCCGCCCGCGCGCGUCCCUGUCGUCGCUGUCCUUCUCCAGCCUGGUUGGAAGGGGCGGGGAUCAGGAGGAGGAGGCGGAGGUGCUGGACAUGGACGCCGGCACGGUGCGCUGCGCGGCCAACUACGCGCCGCUGACGCCGCUCAGCUUCAUCGAGCGCGCCGCGGCGGUGUACGGCGACCGCGCCGCCGUGGUGUACGGGGAGGCCCGGCGGCGCACGUGGAGGGAGGUGCGGGAGCGCUGCGUCCGCGUGGCCGCCGCCCUCGCCACACGCUUCGGCGUCGCCCGCGGUGACGUGGUGGCUGUCCUCAGCCCCAACGUGCCGGCGAUGUACGAGCUGCACUUCGCCGUGCCCAUGGCCGGUGCCGUCCUCUGCACGUUCAACACGCGCCACGACGCGCCCAUGGUGUCCGCCCUGCUCAAGCACUCCGGUGCCAAGGUGUUCCUCGUCGAGUCCAGCCUCCUCGACGUCGGCAGAGCCGCCCUCAAGCGCCUCGCCGACUCCGAGUCCAACGCCGCCAGCAUUCCGGUCCUCGUAACCAUCUCGGACGACGCCGGCCCCGGCGAAGCUUCCGGCUGCGCGGCGGACUACGAGGGUCUCAUCAAGAGCGCUCCAUCUGAGUUUGACAUCCGGUGGCCGGCGAACGAGCUGGACCCGAUCACGCUCAACUACACGUCCGGCACGACGUCGCGGCCCAAGGGCGUGGUGUACAACCACCGGGGCGCCUACCUCAACACCAUCGGCACCGUCCUCGCCUACGACAUCACCCCGAUGCCGACCUACCUGUGGACGGUGCCCAUGUUCCACUGCAACGGCUGGCACCUGCCGUGGGGCGUGGCCAUGCAGGGCGGCACCAACGUCUGCCUCCGCCACUUCACCGCCGCCGUCAUCUUCGACAGCAUCGCGCGCCACGGGGUGACGCACAUGGGCGGCGCGCCCACGGUGCUCAACAUGAUCCUCAACGCUCCCACCGCGGACCGGAAGCCGCUGCCGGGCACGGUGCGCGUCAUGACGGGCGGCGCGCCGCCGCCGCCCCGCGUGCUCGCCGGGAUGGAGGAGCUCGGCUUCGCUGUGUACCACAUCUACGGCCUCACGGAGACGUACGGCCCCGCCACCGUGUGCGCGUGGAUGCCGGAGUGGGACGCGCUGCCGGCCGAGGAGCGCGCGCGGCUCAAGGCGCGGCAGGGGUUCCAGCACGUCGCGAUGGAGGAGGUCGACGUCAAGGACCCGGCGACCAUGGAGAGCGUGCCGCGCGACGGCGAGGCGGUGGGCGAGGUGAUGUUCCGCGGCAACACCGUCAUGAGCGGGUACUACAAAGACAUCAGCGCGACCAAGGAGUCCAUGGCCGGCGGGUGGCUGCACACCGGCGACCUCGCCGUGCGGCACCCCGACGGGUACAUCCAGCUCAAGGACCGGGCCAAGGACAUCAUCAUAUCGGGCGGCGAGAACAUCAGCUCCAUCGAGGUGGAGUCGGUGAUCUUCAGCCACCCGGCGGUGCUGGAGGCGGCGGUCGUGGCGAGGCCCGACAACCACUGGGGGGAGACGCCAUGCGCAUUCGUGAAGCUGAAGGACGGCGCCGGCGCCACGGAGGCAGAGAUCAUGGGCUUCUGCCGGCAGAGGCUGCCGCACUACAUGGCGCCCAAGACGGUGGUGUUCGAGGAGGAUCUGCCCAAGACCUCGACGGGGAAGACGCAGAAGUUUGUCCUCCGGGAGAAGGCCCGGGCCAUGGGCAGCCUGACCAAGACCGGAAGCAGCAGCAAACUGUAA
rnacentral:rRNA from 1 species